rnacentral:rRNA from 1 species
CCUACGGGCGGCAGCAGUGAGGAAUAUUGGUCAAUGGACGAGAGUCUGAACCAGCCAAGUAGCGUGAAGGAUGACUGCCCUAUGGGUUGUAAACUUCUUUUAUAUGGGAAUAAAACGUUCCACGUGUGGGAUUUUGUAUGUACCAUAUGAAUAAGGAUCGGCUAUCUCCGUGCCAGCAGCCGCGGUAAUACGGAGGAUCCGAGCGUUAUCCGGAUUUAUUGGGUUUAAAGGGAGCGUAGGUGGAUUGUUAAGUCAGUUGUGAAAGUUUGCGGCUCAACCGUAAAAUUGCAGUUGAAACUGGCAGUCUUGAGUACAGUAGAGGUGGGCGGAAUUCGUGGUGUAGCGGUGAAAUGCUUAGAUAUCACGAAGAACUCCGAUUGCGAAGGCAGUUCACUGGACUGCAACUGACACUGAGGCUCGAAAGUGUGGGUAUCAAACAGGAUUAGAUACCCCGGUAGUC